UGGGGAAUAUUGCACAAUGGGGGAAACCCUGAUGCAGCAACGCCGCGUGAAGGAAGAAGGUUUUUGGAUCGUAAACUUCUAUCAACAGGGACGAAGAAAGUGACGGUACCUGAAUAAGAAGCCCCGGCUAACUACGUGCCAGCAGCCGCGGUAAUACGUAGGGGGCAAGCGUUAUCCGGAAUUACUGGGUGUAAAGGGAGCGUAGGCGGCACGCCAAGCCAGAUGUGAAAGCCCGAGGCUUAACCUCGCGGAUUGCAUUUGGAACUGGCGAGCUAGAGUACAGGAGAGGAAAGCGGAAUUCCUAGUGUAGCGGUGAAAUGCGUAGAUAUUAGGAAGAACACCAGUGGCGAAGGCGGCUUUCUGGACUGAAACUGACGCUGAGGCUCGAAAGCGUGGGGAGCAAACAGG
rnacentral:rRNA from 1 species